UCCCGCGUAGCUCAGUUGGUAGAGCAGCCGGCUGUUAACCGGCUUGUCGCUGGUUCGAGUCCAGCCGCGGGAG
rnacentral:tRNA from 2 species